rnacentral:tRNA from 1 species
GCGCCCGUAGCUCAGUGGAUAGAGCAUCGGACUUCUAAUCCGAAUGUCGGGGGUUCGAAUCCCUCCGGGCGCG